AGGGAAUAUUGGACAAUGGGGGAAACCCUGAUCCAGCAAUGCCGCGUGAGCGAUGAAGGCCUUAGGGUUGUAAAGCUCUUUUACCCGGGAUGAUAAUGACAGUACCGGGAGAAUAAGCUCCGGCUAACUUCGUGCCAGCAGCCGCGGUAAUACGAGGGGAGCUAGCGUUGUUCGGAAUUACUGGGCGUAAAGCGCACGUAGGCGGCUAUUUAAGUCAGGGGUGAAAGCCCGGAGCUCAACUCCGGAACUGCCCUUGAGACUGGAUAGCUAGAAUCUUGGAGAGGCGGGUGGAAUUCCGAGUGUAGAGGUGAAAUUCGUAGAUAUUCGGAAGAACACCAGUGGCGAAGGCGGCCCGCUGGACAAGUAUUGACGCUGAGGUGCGAAAGCGUGGGGAGCAAAC
rnacentral:rRNA from 1 species